CAUUGAUAACCUGGAAACUAUACAGAGAAAGAAAAUCAGAAUUGUAAGAGGCCUUAAUUCCAUAUCAUGAGACCGAAAGGAAUUAAUGAUAUUUUGCUUGAAGGGAAGGCUGGGGACAAGACAGUUGGUGUUUGAGUAACUGAACAGCUACCAAGUGGAAGAUGGUUUAGAUUUAUUCUGUUUGUUUCAAGAUAGCAGAACAAGAAGCAAUGGGCAGAUCAUGCAAGAGGUACAGACACCGAGGACCAAGAAGGCUAAAUGAUUUACCUAAGAACAUCCAGAUAAUAAAGCAUCGAGGCAGGAGAUUAUAAGGACAGAAUGUUACCUGUACUGUAUCAUCAGAUGAGAUGAUCUAGGAUGUGACUCUUCACGGCUAUUCCACAAGAAGAAGAUAAUACUCUACAUCCAGGCCUAAUGCAGGUGGGCCCUAAAGACCAACCCAUAAUUUAGCAAAGUUCUAGAGCUGGAAAGCAGUACUAACUGAACCACCAGCUCACCUUAAAAUUACUUGAAAGAUGAGAAAACUGAGGCUCAGAGAAGGUGAGUGAUUUAUCCUAACUAAAUCUCCUUGGACAAGUCAUUCAGCACUUUGUCUAUAAAACUGGAGAUAACUAUUCACACUAUCUGCCUCACGGAUUGUUGUCAGAAUCAUGGGAUUGCAGAUUAAGAGCUGGAAAGGAUCUUAGUUGUCAUCUGAUCAUCUGGAUUCACAGUUUAGGAGUCAUUCUUGAUUCUUAUUCAAUCCCUACAUCUCUGUCAUCUCUACUCUUUUCCACUAAGAAUUUAUGGACUUGAACUAUUGCAAUAAGCUUCUGAUGACUGUCCCCUGCAUCACUUCUCCAUUUCAUCCUUCACACAGUCACUGAACUGAUAUUCCUAAAGCAAAGAUUUGAACCAUGACAUUCCUCUCUUCAAGGAGUUUCAGUGUCU